AGCUCUGAGUAUAGAUGAGGCAAACUUCACAUGGAAAAGAAGCCAUAUUUUGAAAAAACUACACGGAAUCAAAGAGAACUAACUCAAAGAAGCAAAAUUUUGGAGAUAAAACAAGCACCAUUCAGAAUCUGGACAUAUAAUAUGUUUAUGGCAUUUAACCUAGUCAGACAGUAGAUAUUGCUCUAAGUCAUGGCCUACACCUGUGAGCCUACUUAUAUCAGCAUUUGCCAAAUGUACUUGUAGCUGUGGUACUGACCUCAGAGAACUUAGCCAAAGAGCAAAGACUGCCUAAUUCAAGAAGUACUGAGAAGAUGUUCCAGGAUUACUUCAUGCUGUCCAGGUCCUAGACAUGGAAUCGUUUGCUUCUUCAAAAGUCUGGAUCCCUUUAAGAUACGAAAUGUAUUUAGAAACCAAAGUAUGGAUGCUAGGUGUGCUCAUGGCCAUUGGAGUGUGUUUCUAGACCCAGGAAUAAGCAAACAAUGGCCUGUAAACUAUAUCCUGUCUGUGGCCUGUUUUUGUACAUCCUAAGAACUAAAAAUUAUUUUAAAAAUUGUAAAUGGGAAAAAGUCAACAACAACAAACAAAUCAAC
rnacentral:lncRNA from 1 species